UUUAAUGGCGCCGCUGCAAAUUCUGUCUAAUUAACCGGUAACAAGAAAUAUAAUUGCUCACGCCUUCGCGGAAAAAUGGUGGAAUUCGAAUUUACGCGUCACAUUAGAAAGAGCAUUUAAUAAAAUAAUUAAUCAAUAUUCCAGAUAUCAAAUAAAGAAUGGAUGUCCGACUCCCAUCACUAGGUUAUAAUUACGUCAAGAUUGAUUCGCUACGUAAUCGAAGCUUACAAGCGAUUUGUACACGAACUCUUACACAGUUUUACAAAACAAUGUUAUAUCGAUGUAGGAAAAGAACCUGAUUGUAUAUAAUAUUAU